UACGAAGGGGGGCUAGCGUUGCUCGGAAUCACUGGGCGUAAAGCGCACGUAGGCGGCUUUUUAAGUCAGGGGUGAAAUCCUGGAGCUCAACUCCAGAACUGCCUUUGAUACUGGCGAUCUUGAGUCCGGGAGAGGUGAGUGGAACUGCGAGUGUAGAGGUGAAAUUCGUAGAUAUUCGCAAGAACACCAGUGGCGAAGGCGGCUCACUGGCCCGGUACUGACGCUGAGGUGCGAAAGCGUGGGGAGCAAACAGG
rnacentral:rRNA from 1 species